CGAACGUCGGUGAUCGUGGAGCAGCACGCGUUUUAAACAGCGGCAUAUCUCUGUGAAACUUAAUAAAAAUUUUAUUUAAUUCGUUAUAUAGUAAUUUUUAUGGCUUCAUGGAAUAUCACAAUAAUAUACGCGUUGUGAAAUCAUGCAUUAUAUCGCUAUUCGCUAUAUGGCCACGUGUGACAUUUGUCACGCGUCGUACUGCAUUAUAUCAACGUGAUAGAGAGGAUAGAUAAAGAUGAGUCAUUCCAAAUACCUAUGAUUAAUUAAAUCUUGAAGCAAAAUAAGAAGGGUACAGCUUGAUAAGAGAACCGCUGGAAGGAUUUAACAGAUCAUUGGCUUCACGUUAUAGUUUUCACAGCAUUAACUUUAAUUCGCGACUACUUUGCCUGAUUAGUCGACCAUAAUUCUGAAAAUCCUCAGGCAUCUUUAUUAUUGUUAUUGUAUGCAAAACUGCGAUCGCCUCACUCUUAAUUAAACAAAUAUACGUUGACGUCACGCUUGAAAUGAAAGGAACCGCAAGAUCUCUUACCUUUUUCUGUACGAAGUAGAAAAUGUUCUUGUCCAAGCACUAAGAGGAAAUUAAAUUAACGUAAUGUAACACACAGGAAAAUGUUAUGAGGCUCCCUCAUAUCUGGCGUGCACCAUUUGCAAUGAUAUGUCAGUAGCCGACAAUUUCUUCUUAUCACAUUUAUUGUUAUCGUAGCGUUAACUCAUUGGCCAUGCGAUCAUGCUUCAUCGUAUAGAUCGUUGAUCCCACCUUCUCUCUCACUUUCGUGGAUGCAUACGGAUCGAGGUGUUGCGUGCAACGAAGAUAGGCUCUCCCUGUUCUCGCUCGGUGGAAGUAGGUUAAACGAUUGUUCGGCCGAAGCUUGACGAUUCUAAAACCACCUGUUUAUUCGUUCAAAGCAAAAUCAACGCGGUAAAUGUUGUUCAAAGCGAAAUUUCACGAGCAUGUGCAUGCAACCCGAUGGAGAACCAGUAGAAGCGUGUCUCCAUAUCGGUAUACAGCUCCCUUAUUCCCUCUUCAAAUGUAAAAUCCCCUCUUCUUUCAUGGAGAGUUAAACCACUGUGACGCGUUAUUGCAACUUGUUAGUAUGGCUAUGGACGUAUGGAAUAAAAACAGACGUUGAGUUUAAACGUUUUUUUUUAUUCGUAUAUAAGAAAAGUAUCACAAACAAUGUAUCAAAUAAUAAAAUUAUCAUAUAUGUAUAUAAAAUGUAUUUGUGCUGCAAUAUCGGUGCAGUCACGAUUGUAUAAAAUUUGUAAAGAGAUUCUAGAAUCAAGUGAAAAGGGUUUUCAAAAAUUUGUUAGUUGAAUAUUGUCCAAAAGAUCUUAGCUAAGAAUGUAGCAACGUGUUUUUUUGUCCUUUAAUGUAAUACAUUAUAUAAAA